GAAGCCCUUUCGACGAGUCGAGUUGUUUGGGAAUGCAGCUCUAAGCGGGUGGUAAAUUCCAUCUAAAGCUAAAUACCGGCCGGAGACCGAUAGCGCACAAGUAGAGUGAUCGAAAGAUGAAAAGCACUUUGGAAAGAGAGUCAAACAGCACGUGAAAUUGUUGAGAGGGAAGCGCUUGCCCCCAGACCUGCCCGCGGGCGAUCACCCGCGGCUUGUGGCGGGGCACUCGCCCGCGUCCAGGCCAGCACGGGUUCGGGCAGCGGGAGAAAGCGCCCGGGAACGUAGCUCCCUCCGGGGAGCCUUACAGCCCGGGUGGCCAUGCCGCUCGCCCGGACCGAGGACCGCGCUUCGGCUAGGGUGCUGGCGUAAUGGGGGUCAGCGGCCCGUCUUGAAACACGGACCAAGGAGUCUAACGUCCCCGCGAGUGUUCGGGCGUCAAACCCCGGCGCGGAAUGAAAGUGAACGGAGGUGGGAACCCCUUCGGGGGCGCACCAUCGACCGAUCCUGAUGUCUUCGGAUGGAUUUGAGUAGGAGCGCGGCCGUUGGGACCCGAAAGAUGGUGAACUAUGCCUGGGUAGGGUGAAGCCAGAGGAAACUCUGGUGGAGGCUCGCAGCGGUUCUGACGUGCAAAUCGAUCGUCGAACCUGGGCAUAGGGGCGAAAGACUAAUCGAACCAUCUAGUAGCUGGUUCCUGUCGAAGUUUCCCUCAGGAUAGCAGUCGCGCGGGCGGUUUUAUGAGGUAAAGCGAAUGAUUAGAGGCCUUGGGGACGCAACGUCCUUAACCUAUUCUCAAACUUUAAAUAUGUAAGAAGCCCCUGUUGCUUCGGUGAACGGGGGCACGCGAACGCGNCGCGGCUAGUGGGCCAUUUUUGGUAAGCAGAACUGGCGAUGCGGGAUGAACCGAACGCGGGGUUAAGGUGCCGGAAUGCACGCUCAUCAGACACCACAAAAGAUGUCAAUCCAUCCGGACAGCCGGACGGUGGCCAUGGAAGCCGGAACCCGCUAAGGAGUGCGUAACAGCUCACCGGCCGAAUGAAUUGGCUCUGAAAAUGGAUGGCGCUCAAGCGUGCUACCC
rnacentral:rRNA from 1 species